rnacentral:lncRNA from 1 species
UGACUGCAUCGUGACUAUAGGUCAACCAAGGUCGGAUCAUAAGGCACCUAAGUAAUCUAGCUGGGAUAUUCAACCUCUAUCUUUAUGUGAAGACCAAAUCAUGAACCUUAUGGUACGAACAAGGAUACUCGUACUUCUUUUACGGAUAAGGCUAACAAAAAUGCAGUUAACAAAUGUGAACUCCUGAGGCUUUCCUAUUGUCAUUAAGUACACGUGUGGGGAUCUAAUAAUAGAUCUCUGAUCAGUCAUAGUAUGCAUGUGUUCCUUGACU